rnacentral:rRNA from 1 species
AACGAACGCUGGCGGCAUGCCUAACACAUGCAAGUCGAACGAGACCUUCGGGUCUAGUGGCGCACGGGUGCGUAACGCGUGGGAAUCUGCCCCUUGGUUCGGAAUAACAGCGAGAAAUUGCUGCUAAUACCGGAUAAUGACGUAAGUCCAAAGAUUUAUCGCCAAGGGAUGAGCCCGCGUAGGAUUAGCUAGUUGGUGUGGUAAAGGCGCACCAAGGCGACGAUCCUUAGCUGGUCUGAGAGGAUGAUCAGCCACACUGGGACUGAGACACGGCCCAGACUCCUACGGGAGGCAGCAGUGGGGGAAUAUUGGGACAAUGGGCGAAAGCCUGAUCCAGCAAUGCCGCGUGAGUGAUGAAGGCCUUAGGGUUGUAAAGCUCUUUUACCCGAGAUGAUAAUGACAGUAUCGGGAGAAUAAGACUCCGGCUAACUCCGUGCCAGCAGCCGCGGUAAAGUGACU